rnacentral:rRNA from 1 species
GACGAACGCUGGCGGCGUGCUUAACACAUGCAAGUCGAACGGAAAGGCCCUGCUUUUGCGUGGUGCUCGAGUGGCGAACGGGUGAGUAACACGUGAGUAACCUGCCCUUGACUUUGGGAUAACUUCAGGAAACUGGGGCUAAUACCGGAUAGGAGCUCCUGCUGCAUGGGGGGGGUUGGAAAGUUUCGGCGGUUGGGGAUGGACUCGCGGGUUAUCAGCUUGUUGGUGUGGUAGUGGCUUACCAAGGCUUUGACGGGUAGCCGGCCUGAGAGGGUGACAAGCCAUAUUGAGUCUGAGAUACGGCCGAGACUCGUACGGGAGGCAGCAGUGGGGAAUAUUGCACAAUGGGCGGAGGGCUGAUGCAGCAGCGCCGCGUGCGGGAUGACGGUGUUAGGGUUGAAAACCGCAUUCGCCUGUGACGAAGCGUGAGUGACGGUAAUGGGUAAAGAAGCACCGGCUAACUACGGGC